AUGAGCCCUGUGAAGGCGCCUGCAUGCUUGUACCCACAUGUGGAGGUUUUACAGGGGACUAAGAGGUCUGUGAAAGAGAGUUCCAAUAAGAGUAAGAAAUCCAGCCCACAGAUGGGCAGUCUUCAUCCUGAGAGUGCUCGCCAGCACUUCCGGAGCUUCUGUUACCAUGACACACCUGGACGUAUGAGCUGUCAGCACCUGCAGGAUUAUGCUCUCAGUGGCUGAGCCAGAGAUCCACUCAAAGAGCAAAUCUUGAGUUGCUGGUGCUGGAGCAGUUC
rnacentral:lncRNA from 1 species